rnacentral:rRNA from 1 species
UACGUAGGGGGCAAGCGUUGUCCGGAUUUAUUGGGCGUAAAGAGCGUGUAGGCGGUUUGGUAGGUCCGCUGUGAAAACUCGAGGCUCAACCUCGAGACGCCGGUGGAAACCAUCAGACUAGAGUCCGGAAGAGGAUAGUGGAAUUCCCGGUGUAGUGGUGAAAUGCGUAGAUAUCGGGAGGAACACCAGUGGCGAAGGCGACUAUCUGGGCUGCAACUGACGCUGAGGCGCGAAGGCUAGGGUAGCAAACAGG